GCGGGCGUGGCGGAACUGGCAGACGCGCCGGCCUUAGGAGCCGGUGGGCCACCCGGCCCUUGGGGGUUCGAGUCCCUCCGCCCGCA
rnacentral:tRNA from 1 species